UCGUAUUCAAAACUACUCCAUAAAUCCUGUUAGCCACAUUGCGAUAAAAAUAGAGUACUUUUUUGUUUUAUAAAGAUAGGCUAUACAUGACUUAGCUGGGAGAGGGAUACCGCCGCCCACGCUAACUCCAGCAUGUUUGAGUCAUGUUUGAUAAGUGAGUAUAUAUGUGCGCGCGCGCUGGGCUUUAGGUCAGUGCUGCCUUGCCCCUCAACUGACUGGGACUACCUCCUUGCUACUGAGGGAGAAGCAACACGGAGCUACCGUACCUGUGACGUGGAUACGUUAGAGUGAACGCGAAAUAACGGUGAAAGUGUACAAUAAAAACAACUGCACUUUUAGAGUUGUUAUUGUUGUAAAAACAUUGUGAUAUUGUAGUGUUGAGCCGUCAAUGUAUAAGAGAUUUCCACAGGAAACAUAUAUUAAAGACUCCUGGACGCCCAGCUCGAGAGAUAGACGUCACAGCGAGCCACCCUAGAGCACCGCCAGACGUUCAGUGGAAAAAAAAAAAGCUUCAAGUUUGUCGCGGCAAAAUUUGAAAAGGCAAAGAUGGCGCGCAAAAUAGGAAUGCUGCCGGAGAGGACAGUGGCGGAGGUCCAAGGUGUCGAGGCGCUGGUAGUUCACGUGGCCGGGAGAGGUCGCUGCCUGGCUUGUGCAAGGAGAAAUAACUCCAGUACCAGUAAUCAGGUUGUUGCCUCCACCAUCAAUGCCGAUGUCAUCUCCAAUGUGGAUAAUGUUAACGCUGAAGCAGUUAUGAAUAAUAGAUAUGACAUCGACGGCAGGAACAUGGAGUUGAUCAAUAUUAAUACCGACGCUCAAAGACAAUCCAGUGUCAGUGCAAACGUAAACGUGUAUAUUGACGUGGACUACAACACAGGACAACCUCUAAUCGCGCAUAUUGAUGACCUUGAUGGCACUAACAGAAGGCUCAGGAUAUUUUUGGGUAUAACUCUGCUAAUCAAUUAUAUCACCAAUACGAACUACCUAUGAUUAACCCACAAGAUUACGAUACGUUGCGAAGGCCAUGAGAGGCAGUGAGUCAUGAGUGUAGCUCACCCUGCCUAGACACAACCGAGACCUUAGGUGUGUCGGAUCGUUUGAAGACAACACAAGAUAUAAAAUAUUGCAUGAUUAGAACACAGAAUAAGCGAUGCACCUAAGGUUGUUAACCCC